UUGAACACCAGCCCUGUGUUUGAGGCCCAUGUCCUCGUUAUGGUUUAAUUGUGGUCACCUGUGUAGAAAGGCGGACAGUGUGAGAUUCUCCCUUUUAAAACGUGCAUUCAUGUGUCUUUAGUCAUUCUGUAAACUUGCAUCCUGAACUCCAUCCAACAACUUUUCAAAAAAAUUUAUACUCCAAAGGAAACUCUACAGCUGUGUGUGAGGAAACCAGUCUGGCUGGAGCGACGCUCACAUACGAUUCCAUGGAAACCAAGGGCAUGGGAAGAUCUUUGAUCUGGGACAAGAUUCAGAAGUUUUAUGAGAAAAUUAAUAGAAGAGAAAGUCAUCUUAAAUCAACGUGCUGAUCUUGUGAUCUAAAGUAAGACAAUUAAAAUUGGCAAAAAAAAUGUAUAUUAUCACAAAGUCAUUCAAAACAGAUGAGUUUGUCUCUUGUGACCCUUUAAAUGGCAGUUUUAAUAUUUUUUUCUUUUAAGGUGCCCUUUUAAAUGGCUUCUUUUUCACUAAUGAUCUCCAUUUUUAAGAUGUAUUAAAAUGCCUGAGAAAUAUAAAAUGUUGUAAGUGCUUCUGAGACCA